rnacentral:rRNA from 1 species
GUACUCCGAAGUGGCCGAACGGGUGAGUAACACGUGGGUGAUCUGCCUUGCACUUCGGGAUAAGCUUGGGAAACUGGGUCUAAUACCGGAUAGGACAGCUGUUUAGUGUCAGUUGUGGAAAGUUUUUUCGGUGCAAGAUGAGCUUGCGGCCUAUCAGCUUGUUGGUGGGGUAAUGGCCUACCAAGGCGUCGACGGGUAGCCGGCCUGAGAGGGUGUACGGCCACAUUGGGACUGAGAUACGGCCCAGACUCCUACGGGAGGCAGCAGUGGGGAAUAUUGCACAAUGGGCGGAAGCCUGAUGCAGCGACGCCGCGUGGGGGAUGAAGGCCUUCGGGUUGUAAACUCCUUUCGACAGGGACGAAGCGUAAGUGACGGUACCUGUAUAAGAAGCACCGGCUAACUACGUGCCAGCAGCCGCGGUAAUACGUAGGGUGCGAGCGUUGUCCGGAAUUACUGGGCGUAAAGAGCUCGUAGGUGGUUUGUCGCGUCGUCUGUGAAAUUCCGGGGCUUAACUCCGGGCGUGCAGGCGAUACGGGCUGACUUGAGUGCUGUAGGGGAGACUGGAAUUCCUGGUGUAGCGGUGAAAUGCGCAGAUAUCAGGAGGAACACCGAUGGCGAAGGCAGGUCUCUGGGCAGUAACUGACGCUGAGGAGCGAAAGCAUGGGUAGCGAACAGGAUUAGAUACCCUGGUAGUCCAUGCCGUAAACGGUGGGCGCUAGGUGUAGGGGGCUUCCACGUCUUCUGUGCCGUAGCUAACGCAUUAAGCGCCCCGCCUGGGGAGUACGCCCAAGCUA